ACCGCCCGUAGAGUUUGGCUAGAGAUGAUUAGUGGCGGACGGGUGAGUAACAUUUAGGAAUCUGCCUAGUAGUGGGGGAUAGCUCGGGGAAACUCGAAUUAAUACCGCAUACGACCUACGGGUGAAAGGGGGCGCAAGCUCUUGCUAUUAGAUGAGCCUAAAUCAGAUUAGCUAGUUGGUGGGGUAAAGGCCCACCAAGGCGACGAUCUGUAACUGGUCUGAGAGGAUGAUCAGUCACACCGGAACUGAGACACGGUCCGGACUCCUACGGGAGGCAGCAGUGGGGAAUAUUGGACAAUGGGGGCAACCCUGAUCCAGCCAUGCCGCGUGUGUGAAGAAGGCCUUUUGGUUGUAAAGCACUUUAAGCAGGGAGGAGAGGCUAAUGGUUAAUACCCAUUAGAUUAGACGUUACCUGCAGAAUAAGCACCGGCUAACUCUGUGCCAGCAGCCGCGGUAAUACAGAGGGUGCGAGCGUUAAUCGGAAUUACUGGGCGUAAAGCGAGUGUAGGUGGCUCAUUAAGUCACAUGUGAAAUCCCCGGGCUUAACCUGGGAACUGCAUGUGAUACUGGUGGUGCUAGAAUAUGUGAGAGGGAAGUAGAAUUCCAGGUGUAGCGGUGAAAUGCGUAGAGAUCUGGAGGAAUACCGAUGGCGAAGGCAGCUUCCUGGCAUAAUAUUGACACUGAGAUUCGAAAGCGUGGGUAGCAAACAGGAUUAGAUACCCUGGUAGUCCACGCCGUAAACGAUGUCUACUAGCCGUUGGGGUCCUUGAGACUUUAGUGGCGCAGUUAACGCGAUAAGUAGACCGCCUGGGGAGUACGGCCGCAAGGUUAAAACUCAAAUGAAUUGACGGGGGCCCGCACAAGCGGUGGAGCAUGUGGUUUAAUUCGAUGCAACGCGAAGAACCUUACCUGGUCUUGACAUAGUGAGAAUCCUGCAGAGAUGCGGGAGUGCCUUCGGGAAUUCACAUACAGGUGCUGCAUGGCUGUCGUCAGCUCGUGUCGUGAGAUGUUGGGUUAAGUCCCGCAACGAGCGCAACCCUUUUCCUUAUUUGCCAGCGGGUUAAGCCGGGAACUUUAAGGAUACUGCCAGUGACAAACUGGAGGAAGGCGGGGACGACGUCAAGUCAUCAUGGCCCUUACGACCAGGGCUACACACGUGCUACAAUGGUAGGUACAGAGGGUUGCUACACAGCGAUGUGAUGCUAAUCUCAAAAAGCCUAUCGUAGUC
rnacentral:rRNA from 1 species